UACUUGUGUGCUGGUAGGGAUUUAUCA
rnacentral:sRNA from 1 species